rnacentral:rRNA from 1 species
UGGAGCAGGCGCGCAAUUGCCCAAUAGCAACACCUAGCUGAGGCAGCGAAGAGAAAUAGCAACUUCAUGCGGCCUUGCCGUGUGAAGAUUGCAAUGGAAGAUAUCUAAACCUGUCUGUGAGUAUCAAUUGGAGGACAAGUCUGGUGCCAGCACCCGCGGUAAUUCCAGCUCCAAUAGCGUAUAUUAAUCCUGCUGCUGUUAAAAAGCUCGUAGUUGGAUCAAGAGUACAACCGUGAAGGUUGGCCCAGUUUGUCGUCGUGGCCUCGGUUGCGGCGGCGGCUCGGGAGUAACCGCCUUCACCAAGCGGUUGUCUCUAAUAGGCGGAAACGGCUCCCGGUGAGUAGGUCCCUUCAUUGGGAUUGAAAGCGCAUACGCGUUAACCAUACGCAUUCGGGACGUCCGCCAUUGUUACUGUGAACAAACCAGCGUGUCCAAAGCAGGUUCCGCCUGCAUGUUCGAGCAUGGAAUAACAAGGGAUCGAUCCUCUCGGUUCUUUUUGUUGGUUUUUAACCCGAGAAGGAGUAAUUCAGGCCAGGGUGUCUGAGUCGGGUUUCCCUAGACUUCGGUUUAGGCCCCGAUUAGGCCCUGUCCUUACGGGAUCAAUAGGGACUGCCGGGGUCGUAAGUACUUCUACGUCAGAGGUGAAAUUCUUAGAUCGUAGAAAGACUAACUUCUGCGAAAACAUCCGACAAGAAUGUCUUCAUUAAUCAAGAACGAGAGUGUGGGGAUCGAAGAUGAUCAGAUACCGUCGUAGUCCACUACUGUAAACAAUGCCGUCUCAACCUAAUGACCCUCACGGCACUAACCCCUGAAACGAGAAAUCAAAGAUUAUGGGUUCAGGGGGGAGUACAUUCGCAAGGCUGAAACUUAAAGGAAUUGACGGAAUGACACCACCAGGCGUGGAGUAUGCGGCUUAAUUUGACUCAACACGGGGAAUUUUACUAGGUCAGGACAAUGUAAGGAUUGACAGAUUGAGAGCUCUUUCUCGAUCCAUUGUGUGGUGGUGCAUGGCCGCUCCUGGUUGGUGGAGUGAUUUGUCUGGUUGAUUCCGUUAACGAACGAGAUCUCGACCUCUAAAUAGGUGGCCGUGACGAUUUGUAGUCUCAUCUCUGCAGCCUAGCUGAUUUGAGUGGGACGAGUCAGCGGCAAUACUUCUUAGAGGGACUGUCUGCGUCUCUAGCAGGCGGAAGAGCGAGCCAAUAGCAGGUCUGUGAUGCUCCUAAAUGUCCUAGGCUGCACGCGCACUACACUGAUGCAUUAAACGAGUCUGAUUGGCUUUGCCAACCUAGCUAGAAGUAGCUGGGAAACCUUUUGAACUUGCAUCGUGAUGAGGAUCGAUGAUUGCAAUUAUUCUCCUUGAAUGCGGAAUGCCUAGUAGGCGCAAGUCAUCAGCUUGCACUGAUUACGUCCCUGCCAUUUGUACACACCGCCCGUCGUUGCUACCGAUUGGCUGUAAGGUAGAGAUUGGCGGAUUUGAGUCGUCUGGGGCGACCCAGCGAUU